UCGAGCACAUACCGUGAUUGCGACACGUAGACCAGAUGUUAAACACAUGUCUUUGUCUCUGUAGUAAACAGUUGCAAAAAAUAGAAUAAAUUAGAUAGGAUCCACGAACGCGUGUGUGCAUCUUUGAACGCGACAUAUCCGACUACGUUUCAGUGACCCUGUGCCAUUCGAAGUUUUUAAUUAUCAUUGGCAUCGAUGGGGUCACUGAAAUUUAUGACCUCGGUGCAUAAAUUUACAAAUGGAAAAAUUAGUGAAAAUUUCAAUUCCGAGGAAAAGAAGAGAGAGAAAAAAAAAGGUCCAUAAUGUCGCGAGAUCUUUUUGCCCCUCUCUUCACUCUUGUCACCAGGAGAUAUAGUAAUGGCGGUUUCAGGCGCACACGCAUCAGUCGUUGUCGAGCCGUCGUCAAUUCAAAACAAGAAUGGAAAAUUAGUGAAGAAAACUUUAUAAUGAUCGUGAUGGAUCAACACAUGGAGAUUUUUUUCUAUCAAUUUUUGGAUAAAAUUUAUUUUUUAAGUUAAAAAAAAUAAUAUUAAUAAUAAUAAUAAUAAUAAUGGUGCAGUGAUUAUAGUUAAUACUGUUAUGUGCAUUUAAUAACAGAAAACAUUUAUUUUUUAAACUUG